rnacentral:rRNA from 1 species
AUUUACAACUGUGUCAUGUUGAAAACAUCAGUUCACAUCUGACCACUAAAUAUUUUAAGCAACUUAGAACCUAGUUAGUAUUUAGUUGACAGCUUAGUAACCUUAGGUGUUGCAAACA